GGGAAAGGGGAGGAGGCGCCGCCAUCAUGAGCUACGGGUACGGAGAUUGGAAUUCGGGCUCGAGCAGAGGGUACGAGGGCUAUGCCUACGGCUACGGCUGCGGCCCCGAGGGCUCCGGGGGCUUCGGCUUCGGAUCGGCCGCCGGCAAUUCCUGGGAUUUGGGCAAUUCCCAAACCGACGGCAGCACCGAGGGCGGCGACGGCCCCGGGAAAGCGCGGCAGGAACCGGGGGG